GAGUGUUCUCUGCAGCAGAAGACCCCUUGCUGCCCUGCUUAACCCAGACCAGCAUUUGCCAGUUCCGUUUCAAGAGGCAUUAGCAUUUGCGAUGGAAGGUAUAUGUAGGAGGCGGAGCUGGUGAGUAUGUGUGUUUGUGUGUGUGUGUGUGUGUGUGUGUGUUGCCCUAGCAACCAGGCAUGGACGGUUCAGAGGGGGAGGGAUCUAAAAUUAAGGCAGUUGAGACAGAGAGAGGAGAGGAGAGCUGGAGUUAGUUGCAUUGGAGUAGGAACUGAUUUGAGCUGAGGGCUGAGAGUUUGGGGUGUGUGUUCGGAACAGGAGAGAUGGGGGGGGGGCGUUGUGUGGAACCUGAAUGGUGAAUGUGUGGAGGCUGGGGAACCAGCAGUGUACUGGGCAGCUCCUAGUAACAGACAAGAAGGUAUGGAAGAAUUCACUAAGUUUACAAACCCAGUUUUAAUGAUCUUUGUUCCACUGAUCUCACCUCCCAAUAUGUUACAUUUUAUCCAGAAGGAAGGAACCACUUCGAAAGUGGAACAGCUGAUGUACCUAGUAACUUGGUAGAAAACAGGUGUGGGGGGCAAUCUGGGUAGCAGCCCACAUUCUUUGAACCCGCCCAAUGGUGGUUCCACCCCUGGUAGAGAGCUUUGCAGACAUCUUUAUUCUAACUAUUACAGUUCAGAACAAAAUGAGCCAUCAUGAUUUAUUAAGUGGAUUACAGGAAGGCCUUACAAUGACAAGAAGAGUGGAAGAUAAGAGCAGCUAAAAAUGUAAAACAAAAUGGAAGAGGAAGAGGAUUUCAUCAGAUAAUGGCACACUAAAAUUAGACAGUGUCAUUCCGAAGAUGAAUUAUAAACUCUGACAUUUUGCUAAUGAUGAUUAUCAGUGGAAGUGGUGGAUUCUUGAACUUCCACAUGGUAAACAAGUGAUAUGUGCACUAAUAAAAGAAAUAUAGUAUAAUUCUGUCCUCAACCCAAGUGAGUAUCUGAUGCAUGCAGCAAUAAUCUUUCAAGUAUUUCUGCCCAGACGGACGAGGAACUCUGAUAGGAUAUCAGCAACAAUCAACUUUCAAGUGGAGAACUAGCACAUGAAUUACAGCUGUCAAAAUUCACUAAGCUUCUGGCAUAAUUCACUAACAUGUAUGCAACAGUGAUGCCUAAAAUUUAGUUGAUAUUCACAUGUGAAUGCUGACAAUAAAAAAAUGUUGUGAAUAACUGAAAAACAGUUAACAGAUUUCCCUACUUUCUGAAAAUAUUCAAGCCAAUGAUGACAGACUGUGACUCUUAGUUUGGGACAUUCAUGAAGAGAAAUGUCACCAUUCACAUAUAAAUGAUAAUGUCCAUCAAAAUUCUGUAAAUUCACUGUAAUACACUUUACAGAUAUGUAACAAUAAUUAUUAACUCUGUAUUCUUUUAUUAAUGUUGUAUGGUUGGGAAACAAAACAAAAAAGGUAAAGUAAUCCCUUGAUCUUAAAAAUUGUAUCUCAUGAAAAAGCGAUAGAUUCUGUGCAUUCAGAGAAAUCUUGAGAGUAAAAAGGUUACAUGAGAAAGAAUGCAGUACCUAAUAUAUUAAAUAUCUUAAAAAUAUUUCCCCAAGGAAUCAACAGCAGUAAGAAAUGACUACUUCCAAAAUAUGCAUUUACUAAACUAUUACUUUUAGACUACCUGGAAAUUUAGCAGUUUCAUAUUUGGUUUCUAACUGUAGAAAGUUUAAAAAUGCACAUGGUGCACCAGCACAGAAUUAAAUCACAUGGCAGUAAUAAUGACUGGCAGUAGUAAUGACAUGGGUUGAGGCAGUAAUAAUGAGUGGCUGCACAUCUGAUUCUGCACAGUUUUACCUUUUUCAUAAGCUAAGGUUUGGAGUCAUACCAUAUAGCAAAUUGAAUGGUUUGUUUUUAAUUUAUUGGGGUUGAGGCUCCAAGAACUGAGGUCAUGUGCACACAUGUAGCAGGACUUGGGGUCUCCCCACACACACUUGCAGUUCCUGUCAAACAGACACCCCAUAGGGUGGGAACCCUCACUUACAGCAUGCAACACAUCCCAAGGUUCUGUAGUCAGACAUAGAUACCCACAGAGCCUGAAGUCCGUCCGUAGAGCAUUUUGGACCCAAGACAUUACAUUUUUUUACCUCACUUAGUAUAUCCACAGCCAGGAAUCCAAAGAAAGGGGGCAAAGGGUGGGGGGGAGCUGCCCCAGAGCACCACAACAUGUUUUUACUAUUGUUAUCUACUGACUGUAUGGGGGAGGGGUGCAGGAGGAAGGCCUCAAGACUGUUUUGGCCUAGGCUCCAGAUUACCUCUCUGUUGAAAACGAAGAGUACACAUAAAUAUAUAAAGGAAAACUGAAAUAUGAAGACCCAUGUUUACAUUUUAUUAUUCUAACAUAGACCUACUUGCUGUGUGGUGCUAAUGGAAACAAAAGGUGCUAUCUUUAAAAAUAUAUAUUAGGUAUGUGAUACCACCAGUUUUGUCAGACUUCAUUACAUAUUUGCAUCAAUGUGAUUGCAAACAUAUUUGUAAUAUAACUGGUCAACUUGCACAUGCUUUUUAGGUGAAGAUCAGCCAAAAUAAUUUCUAAACUAUGGAAAAAGAGAAUCAACCACAGAGAAUAUAACAGGCUGAACAACUUUAAGUGUCUGUUUUGUUCCCUGUACCACUUUGUAAUGUACUAAGUGAAACAUUUUCAUCUUUCUUCAUGAGGCAAUUCUCAGGCUAUCCUCAUAUCUGAAGUUUGUGCAUUUGAUUCUAAGGGGGAGGAUAUAGAAAGUUCCCCUUUGUAAGUUACUAAGAAAAGUGGGGGAUAGGAAAGACAAUUCCCAAGUUAUUUCUUGGGCAUUCAAAACUAUUGUUUGUCACACUACAUCAUGGUCAAGAAAUGAAACCCAGGCAGGGAUAGGCACAUAAAACUCAAGAGUUUUAUGAAACAAAGGAAGGCCUGCAUUCUGUGCCUGAGACACUGGAGUUGCCAAUGCAUGUAGAUAACAAUGGGUUUCUCUGACUUCAGCUGCACCUGCAACUGAAGCCCACUUACUUGCUCCUAUAUUCCACAGGCAUGGGGGCACCUGUGCAUUAUGGGUGGAGAGGCAAAACAUUAUUCUUUCAUGUUAUUUCAGCCAACCUCUCCCCAACAUCUCAUAGUACUGAAAGCUUUCUCAAAGAUUUCCCUUUACACUAUUUGUGCUAGAAAAGACAUUUUAAAGCUCAGAAUCACCUGCUUAACAAAUGUGUCAGUUUUUAAAUGAAUCCAUGGGAAAAUAGCUAAGUUAUGAGGAGCAGAAGAUGAAAACCACAUAUGAAACUGCAACACCAUAUAUCAGGACUCCUGCCUGCCCCACAUCCCCUCCCCUGGGCAUAUUUACAAUUGGAGAUUUGCUAAUAUUGAAGCCCACACUGACUCAAAUUCUUUGGCAAGUCUUUCAAUAGUCUGUCUUCUGAACAAGGGUUUUUCAGGAAUUUGUUCUGGAUUUCAACAAAUUAAGAAAGUUGCUCUCAUUAGGUUCUACAGUCAGAUUCACAUGUGCUCAGCUGAAGUCAGUUAACAAUACAGAACAUUUGAGAUGAGAGAGAAAGGGAAAUAGUUUGUCAAAGGAAAUUUAUAAAAUCUACCACUUGUAGACUCCUCCAUGAUAACAUGUUUCUUCACUAGCAAUGCAGAUUACAUAUAAGUGGAGGAGGGAAAUGAAGACCGCAAGAUUAUCAGUAGAGCUGAUCUCUCUAGAUAGAUAGAUAGACAGACAGACAGACUACCCUCUUAUAUGGUUUUUUAGUACAAGGAAACAUUAUUUUUAUUUUAUGAGUCCUCUGCUCUUGUUCUCUUUAGCCCUGGGAACAACUGAGAAGGGCCUCAAUCAGAACUGCCAAAAUAUUUUUCCCCUUUCAGGGAAGAAGAAAUUUCUUGAAAAUAAAGGGCAACCAUUACACUUGGAUGGUUUAACUCAUGUCUCUGAAGUAAACAGACAAACAGGCUCAAUCACAUAGGCCUUAGCUCCUUAGUUGUUACUGCUUCUACCCAACAGGGCCUCGUCCUUCAUUUUGCUUCAUUUUACCUCAGAACUGCUUGAUCUCAUUUCUCCUUUGGCUUUUACUAGAGAUGUGCACAGAACUGGGCAGGUG